CCUGCGACAGACGACAGACGUGGGUCUGAAAGUAAGGGAAAUAGCCGACCUACUUGGUGUGAAGUGAGAGAAUAUCCACCGUCGAAUGUCAGAGCAUGGUAUAAGAGUCUCUGACUUGAAUAAUUCCACUGACAUCGCAACGUUGGAUGCUGGAUGAUUACAGGGAUUCCCAGGAUCUCAUCCAAAUUCUUGGUUCAAAAUGAUGCAAGGACAUCUCCGGUUCCAACGUACAAAGGUUCAAAGACUUCGUAUGCAACAAUCCAUGCCACAUCUGGAUCCACCGGGAAUUAUCCGCACACUACAACUAAAAACUGUUCGCCAUAGAAAUUCUGUGCCAGCCCCCAACAGUCAAAGGCAUAUCUAUGGCAACCAUAAACUUAUAAAUUAAGGCUCUAUGUUGGGGAACUAGGAAGAAAGUACAAAAAUAAAUUAAGACCAUAUUUUUUUCACCCAUUCUGGAAAGAUAAACCCAUAUAUAAUAUAGACCAUUUUAAAUUAAGUUUAAAUAUUUCAUGCUUUUAUUUUUUAUUACGAGCUAGGAAUCUAAUUCAUUUUGAUUUGGAGUGCUUUCGCUGCCAGCCUCUCCCAGUCAAAAUGGAUUGGGUGUCAAGCACUGUCAAUGGCAGCCAAUGAGUUAAAUGUUGAUGUUUAUGCCUUGCAAAAAUAAGAAACCCUCAAAUUUUCAGAAAAUUCAGAAUCAAAAAAAAAAUUUGGGCCCUACAACACAUUGUCUGUUAUUGCAGAAAUGUUGGUAUAGUUUUAGUUGCCACUUCUGGGAGAUGAUUGGAUUAAAUUUUACCCAUCAAAAUCAAAUCAUGAGGUUUGGCACGCCCUCUUUGCUUGUUGGCUCUUUGAAAAUGGCUUAACAAGUUCAACUUCAAAAGGGAUAAUGUAAAGUGCAAAUUUCUCAUCAAAAACAUUAAAAAUAACCAAUAAAAGCAUGAAAUGUCCCUGACCAAAAAAUUGCACGUUGUUCUGAUAUUUGAGUAAAAAUGAGCUUAGAUUUUUUUUUUUUUUUGCCCAGCUGCAAAAGUGCAUGUCUGAAUGGGUAAUGUCAAAAAUUCAGAACUUUCACCUUUAGGUUAUGUGUAAAAUGACCUACAAGUAACAUCUGAGUGUCACCCUUUCCAUUUUGAAGUCUUGUCCAUUGUCCUCAACCAUUUUUUCUUUUUAAUUAAAUGAUAUAAACACUUUCACAGUCUAGGGCUAGGCAGAUACAGGUUAGGCUAAUCAAUAACUAAAUUUGCCAUAUAGGAUGUAUGCACGUUUAGUUAUAUUUUAGGACUAGUUGGUUCAACAUCUAAUUGCAUAUUUGGAGUUAUAUGUGAUGGUCCACAUGGUCAUCACCCCCAUGUCGGUGUCAGUCCCUGAAGUGCAGCUGCGACAGGCCUCGACUCCUGAAGAAAUUCAGCAGAUGUCAGAAUGUUCUAAUGUAUUGAAUGUCUACAGUUAGAAUAUCCAUCCUGCGUCAAAUAUUUGGACUUGUUUGAAAUGACAGCGUAGCAUGUUGGUUGUGGUCGAUGUGACAGUACCUCAGCAAUGUGAAGAA